UCGACUUAAUAAUGCAUCAAGUUUCAGCUGAUUGUCAAAUAAUUCACUCCAUCUCAAUGCUGCGUAACUCUGCGUGUUUUAAUCAAUGGGCGCACGCGCUGAACAUUCGAGCCGCAUUUGAACUGGAGCAGACAACGUUACCAUGGAAACCGGGCGGUAGCUCAACUGACAACGAUCAGCACAGCUCCAUCUCUCGCUGUUGUUUUCACUACUUUCAGUAUUGUUAGCUCCAACCCCAAUUAAUCAGACCUGAGCAGCUGACUAAACAUCACCAGAAACUCUGCAGAACACUGGCCCUGGUCUGGUCUGGAUGCCACUGUUGCUAAAGCAUUUCAAGUAAAAACUUAAGUCGUGGCUUAAUAAUCCGGGGUUGGGAUGGUGGAAGGAGCAGAAGAACCAGAAGAUCGGAGAUCAGGAAGAUAUCUGUUGGUGCCUCUGAGGGAACUGAUUUAAUGU